rnacentral:rRNA from 1 species
AACGAACGCUGGCGGCAUGCCUAACACAUGCAAGUCGAACGAGACCUUCGGGUCUCGUGGCGCACGGGUGCGUAACGCGUGGGAACCUGCCCUUAGGUUCGGAAUAACUCCCCGAAAGGGGUGCUAAUACCGGAUCAUUUCUUCGGACCAAAGAUUUAUCGCCUUUGGAUGGGCCCGCGUUGGUUUAGCUAGUUGGUAGGGUAAACGCCUACCAAGGCGACGAGCCAUAGCUGGUCAGAGAGGAUGAGCAGCCACACUGGGGCUGAGACACGGCCCAGACUCCUACGGGAGGCAGCAGUGGGGAAUAUUGGACAAUGGGCGGAAGGCUGAUCCAGCAAGGCCUCGUGAGUGAUGAAGGCCGUAGGGUUGGAAAGCUCUUUUACCCGGGAUGAUAAUGACAGUACCGGGAGAAUAAGCUCCGGCUAACUCCGUG